rnacentral:rRNA from 1 species
AGUGGCGGACGGGUGAGUAAUGUCUGGGAAACUGCCUGAUGGAGGGGGAUAACUACUGGAAACGGUAGCUAAUACCGCAUAACGUCGCAAGACCAAAGAGGGGGACCUUCGGGCCUCUUGCCAUCGGAUGUGCCCAGAUGGGAUUAGCUAGUAGGUGGGGUAACGGCUCACCUAGGCGACGAUCCCUAGCUGGUCUGAGAGGAUGACCAGCCACACUGGAACUGAGACACGGUCCAGACUCCUACGGGAGGCAGCAGUGGGGAAUAUUGCACAAUGGGCGCAAGCCUGAUGCAGCCAUGCCGCGUGUAUGAAGAAGGCCUUCGGGUUGUAAAGUACUUUCAGCGGGGAGGAAGGCGAUAAGGUUAAUAACCUUGUCGAUUGACGUUACCCGCAGAAGAAGCACCGGCUAACUCCGUGCCAGCAGCCGCGGUAAUACGGAGGGUGCAAGCGUUAAUCGGAAUUACUGGGCGUAAAGCGCACGCAGGCGGUCUGUCAAGUCGGAUGUGAAAUCCCCGGGCUCAACCUGGGAACUGCAUUCGAAACUGGCAGGCUAGAGUCUUGUA